CAAUUUUUGCCUUCUUCCCCAGUUCCUUGCUCCUCUGGGGAAAUGUGGAAAGAGUCUACUUUUGCCUCUGAUCUGGAACGGGGGGCGGACAGGGGAGGCCUCAGACUCCGCUGGGUCUGAGACACAUUUUCAGUAUUCUCCUGUGAAAGGAACUCUUUUUGUUUCUAGAAGAGAGGAGCACGCCUGCUACCUGGCGCCCGCCAGCUCAUGGACUGCCUGGGGACACUCCAGGGCCUGACCUGCUGAGCCUGGGCCACCACCCGCAGAAAGGGACUGACGACUGGGUCGUCAGAGAAGAGUCGCUGGCAGAAACUGCUGGCUUGCUUCUGCACCAGGGGUGGCCUCCAGAUAACUGGGCCCAAGAGGGUGCUAUCACUGAAAGGAGCUGCACGCGGGCCCAGGUAGCAGUCCCAUUCUGUCUGUCCAGCCUGCUCUGCCCCUCUGCGAACUCAGAUGCAAGCACUCGAGCCAGCCGUGGAGGUUGGCCACGUGGCACGGGGGCAGAGCAGACCGGGGGGAGCGUGAGUCUCUCCACUCGCUUGUUGGUCUGUUGCUCAGUUGUGUCCGACUCUUUGUGACCCCGCGGACUGCAGCACACCAGGCUUCCCUGUCCUUCACUGUCUCCUGGAGUUUGCCCAAACGCAUGUCCAUUGAGUCAGUGAUGCCAUCCAACCAUCUCAUCCUCUGUUGCCCUCUUCUCCUCCUGCCCUCAACCUUUCUCAGAAUCAGGGUCUUUUCCAAUGAGUCAGUUCUUU
rnacentral:lncRNA from 1 species